UACAGAGGUCGCGAGCGUUGUUCGGAUUCAUUGGGCGUAAAGGGCGCGUAGGCGGCGGGGCAAGUCUGAUGUGAAAUCCCGGGGCUCAACCCCGGAACUGCGUUGGAUACUGCCUUGCUUGAGUACUGGAGAGGAGACUGGAAUUUACGGUGUAGCAGUGAAAUGCGUAGAUAUCGUAAGGAAGGCCAGUGGCGAAGGCGAGUCUCUGGACAGUUACUGACGCUGAGGCGCGAAGGCCAGGGGAGCAAACGGG
rnacentral:rRNA from 1 species